GUAGGUGAACCUGCGGAAGGAUCAUUGUCGAAACCUGCACAAAGCAGACCGCGAACACGUUCAAAACAACACCGGGGCCGCGGAGGGGGGGCGACCCCCAGCCGAGGUGCCGCCCCCGCUGGGUCCCCUCGGGGGCCUCGCGGGCUAACGAACUCGGGCGCGGAAUGCGCCAAGGAAAACGCAAAUGGAGCGUUCCCCUCCCAUCCGAGUCCCGUCCGCGGGGCGAGGGGGGGAGCAAGGGACGCCUAUCGAAUGUCUAAACGACUCUCGGCAACGGAUAUCUCGGCUCUCGCAUCGAUGAAGAACGUAGCGAAAUGCGAUACUUGGUGUGAAUUGCAGAAUCCCGUGAACCAUCGAGUCUUUGAACGCAAGUUGCGCCCGAAGCCAUUAGGCCGAGGGCACGUCUGCCUGGGCGUCACGCAUCGCGUCGCCCCCACUCCCCCAAGGGGCGAGCGGGGGCGGAGAUUGGCCCCCCGUGCGCGCAACCCGCGCGCGCGGCCGGCCCAAAUGUGAAUCCGCCGUCGACGCACGUCGCGACCAGUGGUGGUUGAAUCCUCAACUCGCGUGCUGUCGCGUACCAAUGCGCCGUCGGUCCGGAGAGAGCAAAAGAACCCAACGGCGCGAGCACACGCUUCGUGCCCACGACCGCGACCCCAGGUCAGGCGGGAUCACCC
rnacentral:rRNA from 1 species